UACGGAGGAUGCGAGCGUUAUCCGGAUUUAUUGGGUUUAAAGGGUGCGUAGGCGGCUUAGUAAGUCAGCGGUGAAAUUUUGCAGCUUAACUGUAACAGUGCCGUUGAUACUGCCAGGCUAGGAUUUGGUUGCUGUGGGUGGAAUGUGUGGUGUAGCGGUGAAAUGCUUAGAUAUCACACAGAAUAUCGAUUGCGAAGGCAGCUCACAAAGCCAAGAUUGACGCUGAGGCACGAAAGUGUGGGGAUCAAGCA
rnacentral:rRNA from 1 species